AUUGAACGCUAGCGGGAUGCCUUACACAUGCAAGUCGAACGGAGUGGCGAACGGGUGAGUAAUGUAUCGGAACGUGCCCAGUAGCGGGGGAUAACUACGCGAAAGCGUAGCUAAUACCGCAUACUAUUGGAGCGGCCGAUAUGGGUUUAGCUAGUUGGUGGGGUAACGGCACACCCAGGCGACGAUCCGUAGCUGGUUUGAGUGGACGACCAGCCACCCCGGGAAUGAGAAACGGCCCAGGAGCCUAAGGGAGGCAGCAGUGGGGAAUUUUGGAAAAUGGGGGAAACCCUGAUCCAGCCAUCCCGCGUGUGCGAUGAAGGCCUUCGGGUUGUAAAGCACUUUUGGCAGGAAGGCGGUACCUGCAGAAUAAGCACCGGCUAACUACGUGCCAGCAGCCGCGGUAAUAC
rnacentral:rRNA from 1 species